rnacentral:tRNA from 1 species
GGCCCCAUCGUCUAGCGGUUAGGACGCUGCCCUCUCAAGGCGGAAACGAGGAUUCGAAUUCCUCUGGGGUCACCA